rnacentral:rRNA from 1 species
GACGAACGCUGGCGGCGUGCUUAACACAUGCAAGUCGAACGGAAAGGCCCGGUUCUUGUGGGGUGCGCGAGUGCCGAACGGGUGUGUAACACGUGAGGGACCUGCCCUUGACUUUGGGGUAACUUCAGGGAACAGGGGCGAAUAUAGGAUAGGAGCUCCUGCUGCAUGGGGGGGGUGGGAAAAAUUCGGCGGUUGGGGAUGGAGUUGCGGUGUAGCAGCUUGUUGGUGGGGUAGUGGGGUACCAAGGCUUUGACGGGUAGCCGGCCUGAGAGGGUGACCGGCCACAUUGGGACUGAGAUACGGCCCAGACUCCUACGUGAGGCAGCAGUGGGAAAUAUUGCACAAUGGGCGGAAGCCUGAUGCAGCAACGCCGCGUGCGGGAUGACGGCUUUCGGGUUGUAACCCGCUUUCGCCUGUAACGAAGCGUGAGUGACGGUAAUGGGUAAAGAAGCACCGGCUAACUACGUG